rnacentral:rRNA from 1 species
AUACGUAGGGGGCGAGCGUUGUCCGGAAUGAUUGGGCGUAAAGGGCGCGUAGGCGGCCUGUUAAGUCUGGAGUGAAAGUCCUGUUUUCAAGAUGGGAAUUGCUUUGGAUACUGAUGGGCUUGAGUGCAGGAGAGGUUAUCGGAAUUCACGGUGUAGCGGUGAAAUGCGUAGAGAUCGGGAGGAACACCAGUGGCGAAGGCGGGUAACUGGACUGCAACUGACGCUGAGGCGCGAAAGUGUGGGGAGCAAACAGGAUUAGAUACCCUGGUAGUCCACACGGUAAACGAUGAAUGCUAGGUGUAAGAGGUAUCGACCCCUUUUGUGCCGGAGUUAACACAAUAAGCAUUCCGCCUGGGGAGUACGGCCGCAAGGUUGAAACUUAAAGGAAUUGACGGGG